GACGAACGCUGGCGGCGUGCCUAAUACAUGCAAGUCGAGCGAAGUUUUUCUGGUGCUUGCACUAGAAAAACUUAGCGGCGCACGGGUGAGUAACACGUAAAGAACCUGCCUCAUAGACUGGGACAACUAUUGGAAACGAUAGCUAAUACCGGAUAACAGUAUUUCUCGCAUGAGAGAUAUUUAAAAGUUGGUUAUGCUAACACUAUGAGAUGGCUUUGCGGUGCAUUAGCUAGUUGGUGGGGUAAAGGCCCACCAAGGCGACGAUGCAUAGCCGACCUGAGAGGGUGAUCGGCCACACUGGGACUGAGACACGGCCCAGACUCCUACGGGAGGCAGCAGUAGGGAAUCUUCCGCAAAGGGCGAAAGCCUGACGGAGCAACGCCGCGUGAGUGAAGAAGGAUUUCGGUUCGUAAAGCUCUGUUGUUAGGGAAGAAUGGAUAUGUAGUAACUAUACAUGUAAGAGACGGUACCUAACCAGAAAGCCACGGCUAACUACGUG
rnacentral:rRNA from 1 species